rnacentral:piRNA from 1 species
UGGUGUAACUGUGAGACUAAGUGAUA